rnacentral:miRNA from 1 species
CCUGGAGCGCGCGGGCGAGGCGGGUGCGUGGCACGGGGCUCGCGGGG